UUAUUAUAUUUGUGACAAACUGACAUGACUGUAUGUCUCUAAAGCACAUUGUGAGAGAGGUGGAGAUAGAGUGAGUUGUUGUUUGUUGUUCUCUGCAGAGGAUUUCCUGUAUCUCAUGUUAGGUAUGGUCGUACUUCCUGAGUUCUUGUCUGGGCGAGAUGUCUGGGCAACAUCACGCUAGUUCACAAUGCCACCCAGUAAUGGACUGCUCUUCAAGACCUUCAGUGUUUUGCUGCUAAUACAGAACUGUGAAGUUUGCGUUGCAGAGCAGUCAGAGUUGAUUUGUUCACAUCAACCAAUUGUAGCCCUGGCUGGUGAUGAUGUCAUUCUACCAUGUUACCUUGAUCCUCCAAUCAGUGCCAGUUCUGAGACAGUGGAGUGGA